CGGCCCCGGAUCGCAGGGGGACAGGGCUCUCUCCGGCCGGUGCUCGACGGGAGGAAAGAGCCCGAGAGCAGGAAUGGGACAUUUGCCGCUGCCCCUGCCCUCCACUCCCUGUUUGCCCACAAAGAAAAUAAGGCCCCUGUUUUCCCAACACCUGGAUAAAGAGCUUUCACAGGGUCAUCAGGGUUUCACCAGAAGUCCGCCACAUCCAUCGUCCUACGGUAGCUACACUACAGUUUCCUCCGACUCUCCCACUCCGGCCUCCCCCAGUUCAAUUCUCCUUUUUACUCCUUUGCAGUGUCUCACCCAGGGAAGACAGGAAGAGCUGUGCAUGUUAUAGAUUACUUUUACGAUGGCUACAUAACUUGCUCAAAGAAGAAAAAAGAUUGAUGACUCCUUGGUUUCAGCAAAGCAGCUUUCCCUUUCAGAGUAUUAAAUACACAUGGAACGGAAUGAGCCAUCUUCAUCAAUCUACUGGGGAUCCAGCUGCUAUCAUCUGGGAGAGAUGAGACCCCAUCACUUUCUUAUGAUUAAGACAAAUGCUGCUGAAGCUUGAAUUCCCUGUUGAAAAAGAUUCAGACUCUCAUUCACUUUGAUGAAGUUUUCUGUGUUGUUUUUUUUUAUCUUUGUUCCACUUUUGUAAUAUCGAGAAUCACUGUUUUUUGUCCAUUUUUUGUUUUCUUUCAUGUUUCUCCAUCUGUUACUUGGUGGAAAUCAGUACCUCAUUAACAACGCCUGUGAUCCUGGUAUUCUUUAAUCUCCAGGCUGUAAGCUCCACAAGACAGCACUCUUAAUUAUUUCCAAAAAGAUGGCUAUGAAUUAUAAAUAGGCAGCACAAUCAAAUGAAAAAAAAACAUUUGAUUAGUAAUCUAAACUCAAAAGAUGAACCUAAAAGUACAGAAUGGCUAUUUGUGUGACAGAGAAAUUCUAUCUUGUAAAGAGAAUUGUAGAACAUGCAAUGUAACAGCUAAGUUCAUAGCUGAGGUACACACCUCAGCUGAAAUAAAUACUACUGAUAAGACAGAUUAAUAGCUGUAUUGACAUGGCAUAUAAAAACGAUUUUAAAACUAGCUAGUUUAAAGCUGUUUUUUUAGCUGUACGUUUUUUUAAUAUGUAGUGUGAAUGAAACAGCUUUGACUUUGAGUUAACUUCACCUUGGUUUCUCAAGUUUUUAAUUUCUUGAACCAAAGAGAAUAUCUAGACUGUAAAUUAAUGGGACAGGUUGGGAUCAGGAUAGACUUUGUGUUAUUUAACAGCUAAUAGAAGUGCUAUUGCCAUUGGUUUUCUUUGAACUUUCAGAAUAUGAUGAAAAUGUUACCUUUUUAUGUAUGCG
rnacentral:lncRNA from 1 species